UACGUAGGGUGCAAGCGUUGUCCGGAAUUAUUGGGCGUAAAGAGCUCGUAGGCGGUUUGUCGCGUCUGCUGUGAAAACUCGGGGCUUAACCCCGGGCCUGCAGUGGGUACGGGCAGACUAGAGUGCGGUAGGGGAGACUGGAAUUCCUGGUGUAGCGGUGAAAUGCGCAGAUAUCAGGAGGAACACCGGUGGCGAAGGCGGCACUCUGGGCCGGAACUGACGCUGAGGAGCGAAAGCGUGGGGAGCGAACAGG
rnacentral:rRNA from 1 species